rnacentral:rRNA from 1 species
CCUACGGGUGGCAGCAGUGAGGAAUAUUGGUCAAUGGGCGCUAGCCUGAACCACCCAAGUAGCGUGAAGGAUGACUGCCCUAUGGGUUGUAAACUUCUCUUAUAUGGGAAUAAAGUGCAGUAUGUAUACUGCUUUGCAUGUACCCUAUGAAUAAGCAUCGGCUAACUCCGUGCCAGCAGCCGCGGUAAUACGGAGGAUCCGAGCGUUAUCCGGAUUUAUUGGGUUUAAAGGGAGCGUAGGCGGGUUGUUAAGUCAGUGGUGAAAGUUUGCGGCUCAACCGUAAAAUUGCAGUUGAUACUGGCAGCCUUGAGUACAGUAGAGGUAGGCGGAAUUCGUGGUGUAGCGGUGAAAUGCUUAGAUAUCACGAAGAACUCCGAUUGCGAAGGCAGCCUGCUGGACUGUAACUGACGCUGAUGCUCGAAAGUGUGGGUAGCAAACAGGAUUAGAUACCCGGGUAGUC